rnacentral:tmRNA from 1 species
GGGGGCGUAUUUGGUUUCGACGGGGAUGAUAGAAUCGGGAGCAGCGAGCCGUGGGUCGCACGGUACCACGUAAAAAAACCGGCAAUUAAAUAUAAACGCAAACGAAAAUUACGCUUUAGCUGCGUAAUUAACGCAGCUCGUUCAACCCGGGCUUCCCGCAGUUCGGGAUUGGGCGUCAUCCAAGCGGGGAAC